GGGAGGCAUCACCAGGUUUCCCUCCUCUGCAAACCCACGGCUGAAACGGGUGGUUGGAUGAUGCUACUCAACAGGUUUUCCUGGUGAAAUGGAACACAUCUCUCAGGAUAAUGCCUGAACCUUCCGGGGACAACAGUAGACUUUGGGAUCAGGACACACCUUUUCCUUCAGCAGCAUUGUGGCUGCCUACCAGCUGAAACGGUAUGUCUGCAUCUGGAUGAGAUGGAGAGCAAUUUACAAAUUUCAUCCACGUGAUGGAUGUGGAGGAGAAGCCAUAGAAGAUGACACCCAACCAGGAACAAGCUGCAGUUUUGUUGUGAAUAUCCAGGAAGUCUCUGUGGUGCAGAUGUGACAGCAACAGCAAAACGUAUUUCAACGUCCCAUCCCGUGAAGAAGCUGUGAGUAUCAGCAACCACACAAAAGAGCUGGCGGGGGGGUGGGGAGGGCAGGGUCUUGAAAAUGACAAACAUCAGCUGUCUGUCCUGGUGGAACAUGGUAACUAUUUGUGGAUUCCACUGCCUAAACCCCAUCAAAGUAAGAGCGUAGCACUGCUAUCUAUUGUUAUUCUGUGUGUUGUUUUUUUUUUUUCCCCUAAAUGUUUCCAGCAUGUUGGCCUAUAGUACCAAAACUCUGCAAUUCUUAGAAAGUGUUGGUUUGGUUUGGUAAGUGGAGUCAUGAAUGCAAAUAUUCCUGACUUCUGAGACAGAAGGAUGUGUAUGAGUGGAUGAAGCACAAUAGGAUUAUUAUACUCCUCCUUACCAGGGGAACUGGCCUGAGAUUCACCUCGAGUCCUUUGCAACCUGGUAGAAUGGCUUUGUUGGGAAUGGAGAGCAUCAAGAGCUGACAUGCCUAAGAGCUGCUCUGCUUGGGGCGGGAUCUUUUUAUAAGUGUGGCGUUACCUUUUUCACUUCAUGUCACUGUGGGGAAGAGAUCAACCAAUGGUUCCCUUAGGCUGGAAAAAUAAGGAAUUUACCAACAGGGAUGUUGUGGAGUAACCUCUAAACACAAGUAGUGGUGACAAAGUCUGAACUCUUUUUAAAACACAGAUCAAUAAAUUAAUGAGAUACUAAUGUCAAGGAUCUCUAGCAAUCUUAAUUAGUGUUAAUAGCUUUACAGGAGGUUUUAAGCCUGAUAAGCGUUGAAGACAAUUUCACUAUAUAGAUCUUGGAUCUGUGUUGUCUUCUAGUAGAGCAGCAGUGUAACUAUACUGAAUUGCGCUUCUGGAAAAGAAGAAUGGAGCCAACACAGUUUCAGGAUAUUUUCAGUAAUACCUUAUUCAGUUUUUAUAGAACCCUACUGGUUUCCUUCCUCUUAAACGCCUUAAGAUUUUCUUCCAUAAAGGGUUGUUUUGAAAGCUAAAAAGUAUUCAGGGGGGAGAAGGUGGCGAAGCAUCCAAAGGUGUGUGAUAAAUUAAUGUGAUUACUCAGCUUUGCACUUUAUCUCAGAAAGAUCCCAUCUGUACAUGCUGUGAAUGCAUUCGUAUGUGGUAAUAAUGGCAGUAUAGUAUCAAUGCAAACAGAGAUGGACACACAGGCACCAGCUGAGAUGUGUACUAUUUCUAGACGUGCUGCAUUGUCACAUAUGGCUCCAUGCUGGUAAAAUGGGGCUUUCAUUCUAUUUUUAUACCAGACUUUCCUUUCACGGGACAUUUGUUCAACUUCCCACUCCCUCUCUCCUCCUCCUUUUCACCUCUGACUG